rnacentral:rRNA from 1 species
AACCUUUAGCCCAAAACAAAUAUUAAAGGCAACGCCUGCCCAGUGAACAAUUAAACGGCCGCGGUACCCUAACCGUGCAAAGGUAGCAAAAUCAUUUGUCUAUUAACUGUAGACCUGUAUGAAAGGCAAAAUGAGGGUUUAACUGUCUCUUAUAAUUAAUCUAUUAAACUGAUCUCCUAGUAAAAAAGCUAGAAUACUCCCACAAGACCAGAAGACCCUGUGAAGCUUUAAUUAAACUAUUAAACCCCAUAAUAACUACUUUAGGUUGGGGCGACCUUGGAAACAAAAAGAACUUCCAAACUACAUACUACAUCUCUACUUUUUUAGGCCUACGAGCCAACUAACGACCCAGUAAUACUGAUAAAUGAACAAAGUUACUCCAGGGAUAACAGCGCUAUCUUCUUCAAGAGCCCAUAUCAAAAAGAAGGUUUACGACCUCGAUGUUGGAUCAGGACAUCCCAAUGGUGCAGCCGCUAUUAAAGGUUCGUUUGUUCAACGAUUAAUGUCCC